GGAUGUAAUCAUACCAGCAUUAUGCACUGAAUCCCAUCAUAAUUCUCCAGUGAAGCAUGCUUGGGCUAGAGUAGUACUGGAAUGAGUGAUCUCCUAGGAAUUCCUGAUGUUGAUUUAA
rfam:Picea glauca, whole genome shotgun sequence.